UACAGAGGGGGCAAGCGUUAUUCGGAAUUAUUGGGCGUAAAGGGCGCGUAGGCGGCCUGGCAAGUGGAGGGUGAAAUCCCUCGGCUUAACCGAGGAACUGCCCUCCAAACUGCCUGGCUUGAGUCCGGGAGAGGUGAGUGGAAUUCCCAGUGUAGCGGUGAAAUGCGUAGAUAUUGGGAGGAACACCAGUGGCGAAGGCGGCUCACUGGACCGGAACUGACGCUGAGGCGCGAAAGCGUGGGGAGCGAACAGG
rnacentral:rRNA from 1 species